GAGGGUAUAGCUCAAGUGGUAGAGCACAUGCUUAGCAUGCACAAGGUUCUUAGGUUCAAUCCCCAGUACCUCCU
rnacentral:tRNA from 1 species